GCCUUCGUGGUGUAGUGGUCAGCACGCUUGAUGCGUAUUCGAAAAGUCCGUGGUUCGAGUCCAGGCGAGGGCC
rfam:Stegodyphus mimosarum contig28801, whole genome shotgun sequence.